AGAGUCCGGCAGGAAAGGAGCAGCGAAUCCAUCCUGACCCCAAGUCCUGCGGGGCGCAUCGCAAGGUGUGAU
rnacentral:misc_RNA from 1 species